UCUCCGUUGGUGAACCAGCGGAGGGAUCAUUACCGAGUUAUCCAACUCCCAACCCCUGUGAAUUAUACCUUUAAUUGUUGCUUCGGCGGGACUUCGCGCCCGCCGGGGACCCAAACCUUCUGAAUUUUUUAAUAAGUAUCUUCUGAGUGGUUAAAAAAAAAAAUGAAUCAAAACUUUCAACAACGGAUCUCUUGGUUCUGGCAUCGAUGAAGAACGCAGCGAAAUGCGAUAAGUAAUGUGAAUUGCAGAAUUCAGUGAAUCAUCGAAUCUUUGAACGCACAUUGCGCCCGUCAGUAUUCUGGCGGGCAUGCCUGUUCGAGCGUCAUUACGCCCCUCAAGUCCCCUGCGGACUUGGUGUUGGGGAUCGGCGAGGCUGGUUUUCCAGCACAGCCGUCCCUUAAAUUAAUUGGCGGUCUCGCCGUGGCCCUCCUCUGCGCAGUAGUAAAGCACUCGCAACAGGAGCCCGGCGCGGUCCACUGCCGUAAAACCCCCCAACUUUUUAUAGUUGACCUCGAAUCAGGUAGGACUACCCGCUGAACUUAA
rnacentral:rRNA from 1 species